GAUGAACGCUCGCGGCAGGCCUAACACAUGCAAGUCGAGGGAGAGGUUACCUUCGGGUAACCAAAACCGGCGCACGGGUGCGUAACGCGUAUACAAUCUGCCUUUCACAUAGGGAUAGCCCGAAGAAAUUUGGAUUAAUACCUAAUGGUAUAUAAGAGCGGCAUCGUUUUUAUAUUAAAGCUACGGUGGUGUAAGAUGAGUAUGCGUUCUAUUAGCUAGUUGGAGAGGUAACGGCUCCCCAAGGCGACGAUAGAUAGGGGUUCUGAGAGGGAUGUCCCCCACACUGGUACUGAGAUACGGACCAGACUCCUACGGGAGGCAGCAGUGAGGAAUAUUGGACAAUGGUCGGAAGACUGAUCCAGCCAUGCCGCGUGCAGGAUGAAGGUCCUAUGGAUUGUAAACUGCUUUUGUAAGGGAAGAAUAAGGAGUACGUGUACUUUGAUGACGGUACCUUACGAAUAAGCAUCGGCUAACUCCGUG
rnacentral:rRNA from 1 species